rnacentral:lncRNA from 1 species
UUUUGGCAAAUUGUGGGUAGUCAACAAAGAAUUGUUCAAUGGCUUUAAGAUCACAGCCAUGUAAAUUGGUUUUAUUCUACCACUUUGUUUUGUAUUUUCUAAUGAGGGUAGGUAUUUGAAAAAUAUCCAUGGUUUGGUCUUUGAGUUGGUAUUCUAUCAUUAGGAUCCAUGGAAUAUGGAAAUGGUGACAAUAAGUUAACCAAGAUGGGGCUAUGGUAACCGUUUCUGGUAAUUGUUGUCUUUCAAAAAAUUGUUCUUUAGCUAUCCAAAUUUGGUUUGGGAUAUUGUUUUCAUUGAUACCAAAUUUGUUCCACCAUUGGUAAAACCAAUAGGGCACAGGAUAAGAUAAAUUGUCAUCGAAAAAGAAAAAGAAAGACACAGACAAUUGUUCAUUAUGCUUGAAAAAAGUUCUUUCCCAAGCAGUCUGAUAAUCAUAAUAAUUGUAUUUAAUAUUUUGGUUCAUUUGUCCAACUGUCAUGAUCCUUUCUCUCAUUUUGUGAGGUUCAAGACCCCAAUCUGUAAGAGUCCAAACUUUCAAAAUUCGAACUUUACAAUAUUUCAAUUUAUUUGGUAUUUGUGGAUCAUAAUUAUUGUGAAUAACAACAGAACAAGUAUUAUUGAGAAUGGUCUCGUAGAAAUGUUGUGAUUUUUGAAAAUUGUCUGGUAUGUAAAAGUGACUCUUUGGAAAAACAGUACUACAUAACUGAUAGACACUUAAAUUGGGGUUUUGGGCCCAAUAUUCUGGUUCAAUUGUCAGGAUAUACUCAUCAAUUGGUUUAUAAGUAUAGUCUGUCUGGGAUAAUUCCUGUGAAGAUGUUGGUAAUGGGCUGGAAGAUGAUGGUCCACUAGCAGUUGGGCCAGUAACUGCUUGUUUGAAUGUAGAGGGUGGAAUUGGAGUAACUUGUAAUGGGCUAAACAUAUUGACAGAGGCAAAACAACUGGGUAACCUUGGUCUUGGAGAGGUUGGUAUAACUAAAGCACUGGAUAUUGGGUUCAUUGGUCUUUGUAAAAUAGAAGAGGUACUUGUAUAAAUUGGUCGGGGAGUAUUUGGUGGUAAUAGAUUUAUAUUAGCAGGUUUAAUUUUUGGUGAUCUUAAUGAGAUCUUUUCUUUUCCUUUGUCAGCCAUGCUUUCCCUGCAAAAAUUCACGUGUUAGAAAAUCAGCAAUAGAAUUGUCAGUUCCUUUAAUAUGAACAAUGUCAAAUUCAAAAAUUGAUAAAAAUGCUUGCCAUCUGGCAAAAAUAUGUUUAGCAGCUAAAUUUUUUACAUCCUUUGUUAGAACGUCCUUAGCAGCUUUACAAUCUACUCUGAUGGUAAAUUUUUUGUUUAAUAAAUCACUCUGGAAUUUUGUGACACAUAAAACAAUUGCUAAAAUUUCUUUUUUAAUAGUUGAGUAUUUUUCUUGGGUAGGAUUCCAAAUUCCUGAAUAAUAUCUUAUUAUAUGGUCUUUAUUAUUUAUAUGUUGUUUUAAAAUUCCCCCAAAACCUUGGUCCGAGACAUCAGUUUCAACUAUUUUUGGAAUGUCAGGAUUGCAUAAACUUAAGCAUGGUAAUGUUUUAACAUGUUUUUUAAUUUCCUGAAUAAUCUUUGUAUGUUCUUGUGUCCAUGGUUUAGGAUUCUUUUUUAAUCUAUUAUAUAAUGGUUUGCAUAAUAUUCUUAAAUUUGGUAAAAAAUCAGCAACAUAAUUUAAUGAUCCUAAAAACCUUUGUAAUUGAUUUUUAUCUUUUAUUUCAUCUGGGAAUUUGUUAGCAAAUUCUAUGCUUCUUUGAAUAGGUACUAUUGUAUUUUGAUAUAUUUCAUGUGCUAGAAACCUUAUUUUUGUCUGAAAUAAUUUCAUUUUUGAUUUGGAUAAUACUAAACCAUUUCUUUUUAUUGCUUUAUAAAAAAUGUUUAAAUGUUUAAUAUGCUGAUCUAUAUUAUGACUAAAAAUUAAAACAUCAUCAAUGUAAAUAAUUAUGAAAUCGUAAGGAUUGAAUAUGUCGUUCAUAAUUUUCUGAAAUUCACUUGGCGCAUUCUUUAAACCAAAAGGCAUUAUGUUCCAUUCAUAUUGUCCAAAUGGUACUGUACACUUAUUCACUAAAAGAACAACACAAAAUUAAAAACGAAUUUUUUGAUUUUUGUAACCAAGUCAAAAGGACUAUACCAUUUUUCACAUAUCUAAAAUAUUACCAGGAAAAUAAUUUAAACAUUUUAGAAAAGAAGAUACACAAAUGGAACAAAGUUAAUGAAGUAGGAGGACCUAGCGAUCAAUAUUAUGAAUUUGAAAGACCACCAAUGAAUAAGGCUUUAUUUAAAAAGGAUCAUGAAUACCAUGGUAUACAACCAAUAAUAAACACGAGCAAUAUACAGAGUAGUGAAUUAAAAGAUAUAACCUUACAAAAUAAUUGGACAAACGUAGCUCUUCAUAUUAUAGGAAAUCAAUUAGAUAGAUUAGAAGAAAAAAUAGAGUUAAACCAUGAAGCAAUAACUAAUAUUGAACAUAUAGAAAUACCUCAGGCACCAUCACCAAUAAUAAAUAGACCUAGUACUACAUAUAGUUCCCAGAGAUAUACAAAUCCAAAAUCAUAUAACAUAGAUCCAGCAUAUAAACAAACAAGUAAACCCUUUACAAAAAUAAUACCACCAUCUCAGAAUCCUAUAGAUGUAAUAAAUAUAAAUCCAAAAACUGAGUUAGAUGACAUGGCCAAAAUAUUACAAAAAAUAAUUAGUGACCAAAAUAGAUCAGGAAGUACUAGUAAUAGUUCACCAGGUAUUAAGAUUAAUGAACCAAAAGAAUCUAAAGAUAAAAAUAAAAUAACUAUAUUAACAGAAUAUAAUGAUAGUUCAAGUUCUUCAGACAAUGAGACAAUAGAAAACCCUUUAGAAGUAUCAAACUCUAAUUCUGACCAGGAUUAUGUUAUACCCAUAAAUACUAUAGGAAGACAUUAUAAUAGUCAACCUGAUGACUUAAAAAUAUUAGAUAGAAAACAAAAACAAUAUAAUGCUAAAAAUAUUUAUGAAUGGAACAUAAUGCCUUUUGGCUUAAAGAAUGCACCAAGUGAAUUUCAGAAAAUUAUGAAUGACAUAUUCAACCCUUAUGAUUUCAUAAUUACUUACAUUGAUGAUGUUUUAAUUUUUAGUCAUAAUAUAGAUCAGCAUGUUAAACACUUAAACAUUUUUUAUAAAGCCAUAAAAAGAAAUGGUUUAGUUCUGUCAAAACCAAAAAUGAAGUUAUUUCAGACAAAAAUUAGGUUUUUAGGACACGAGAUAUAUCAGAAUACAAUAGUACCUAUUCAAAGAAGCAUAGAAUUUGCUAACAAAUUCCCAGACGAAAUAAAGGAUAAAAAUCAAUUACAAAGGUUUUUAGGAUCAUUAAAUUAUGUUGCUGAUUUUCUACCAAAUUUAAGAAUAUUCUGCAAACCAUUAUAUAAUAGAUUAAAAAAGAAUCCUAAACCAUGGACACAAGAACAUACAAAGAUUAUUCAGAAAAUUAAAAAACAUGUUAAAUCAUUACCAUGCUUAAAUUUAUGCAAUCUUGAUAUUCCAAAAAUAGUUGAAACCGAUGCUUCUGACCAAGGUUUUGGAGGAAUUUUAAAACAUCUAAAUAAUAAAGACCAUAUAAUAAGAUAUUAUUCAGGAAUUUGGAACCCUACCCAAGAGAAAUACUCUACCAUUAAAAAGGAAAUUUUAGCAAUUGUUUUAUGUGUAACAAAAUUUCAGAGCGAUUUAUUAAACCAAAAAUUCACCAUUAGAGUUGAUUGUAAAGCUGCUAAAGAUGUGUUAACAAAAGAUGUAAAAAACUUAGCUGCUAAACAUAUUUUUGCCAGAUGGCAAGCAUUUUUAUCAAUUUUUGAAUUUGACAUUGUUCAUAUUAUAUUUGCUUUAGUAUGAUCUAUUUGCCAAAACAUUGUUUCUCCUGAUGGUUUACUAUGGUUUAUAGCAUUAGGACAUAGUCCAGUAUUCAUUACCUUGUAAUUUAAUCUAUAAAAUACUUCAUAUAUAUGUGAUCCUUUUAACAUAUUGUAAUUAUGUGUUAAAAUAUCUAAUGUUAAAAUUUUCAUAAUAUGAGGGUCUGUUAAAGAUAUUGUAAAAUUUGGAAAACAGUUUGAAUAAAUUGGUCCAUUACUUAAACUUGUUUCAAAUAGUCCUAAUAAAGAAUCUUUGUAAUUUAUGUGUCUACAGUCUCUUAAAGCUACAUGCAUACUAGUAUUUAAACCUUCUACUGUUAAUGGUUUAAUAGCUAUUUGUACUAAUCCUAUGUGCAUAAAUCUAUAUCCUUGGUUUAUAUAUCUUGUUAUGGUUUUUUCACUUAGUAAACCCAUUGAUUGAUUUUCUGAAUAUAAGGGUAUAACUUUCUCUUUAGUUUUAAUUGCUCUUAUUGAUUUAAAAUCUAAUAUACCUUUCUUGUAUAUAUGAUCUAUAGGCGUCUUAGAGGGUUUCCAAUUUGUUAAUUGUUGAUUAUUCCAAGUACUUUCUCUUGAUAAAAUUGUAUUUUUAUUGUCUGUAUUAAUAUUUAAAUCUUGGAUUAAUUCUUCAUCUUGGUUUCUCGACCUAGUGGAUCUAUUUCUUCUAAACAAACUCAUUUUUAAAAUCUAGGGUUCGCUCAUACACUUCCUUCUCACACACCUACAGGACUUACACUUUCUGCCUGAUUUAUGGAUCUAGCGAGGACACAGAUUAAACCCUAAACUUUUAUUAUAAGUUUGCUUAAAAUAUUUAAUACACUAGGCUCUGAUACCAUUGCUGAGAGAAACUCAUUCAUGAUUUAAAUAUGUAACAGACUUAUGUAAAUAAAACUUAUAUUGUUAUUAAAUAUGUAACAGACUUAUGUAAAUAAAACUUAUAUUGUUAUUAAAUAUGUAACAGACUUAUGUAAAUAAAACUUAUAUUGUUAUUAAAUAUGUAACAGACUUAUGUAAAUAAAACUUAUAUUGUUAUUAUGUAUAUUUUAAUUUGUAUCAUAAUCAUACACAACAGGUAAAUAUAAGGCUAUAGAGUAUAAAAUAAUAAAUACAUGAAUUUGUACAAACAUAUACAUACAUAUGAAUAGUAUAACAAUACCGUAUGCAUACAUGAUUUUAAAAAUUGUUAUUACUUAACAAUACUUCUAAAUACAUUAUCAUGGAAUUAAAUAGUUCUAAUGUUCUUUCAACUUCUCUACAAUCACAGUAUUCAUUAUGGUUCGCAGAAUGAUAAUCACUUAUAAAUCUUCCUUGUUCAACUAUAUUUCUCUUAAAGGUUUCUACUUCUCUUUUAUUGGUCAAAUCAACUAAACUUAAAUUUUCUAAAGCAGAUUUAAUAAAUCUCAUAGUGAUUAAUUAAAUUAUUCAUAAAAGUAAUAUGCAAUAUAAAACAUAAUCAUUCAAUUAUAUCAAAUAAUAUUAUAAACAUGAUUCAUUCAAAUGAACAACCCAAUUUCUGAUGUGAAAGAUCGGUAUGAACCGCAAUCACAGAGCAUACUUAUCAUGAAUGCAAUUGAUUUUAUUUGGUUAAGGUUCCUGCAAUGUUAACCUGGAUUUCCCAGAAUUAACUCAGAUUGAUAAUUCGAAGAGAGAGAGAAAGAGUUGCCGUCAACACGGACUUAUAGAGUAACAGUUAUAUAAUGAUAAUUUUAUAAAUACUUGAAGUAAAUACAAUACAACUUACUAUUGUUUUUCAAAUAUGAAAUACUACACAGCAACAGUUUGGUUGUGGUAAACCAUAACUUUCCAAUACAUUGAAAAUAUAAACUAUCCUAGAAAUAUCAGAGAGAAAUUUUUGAGUCAAAACUCGGUGUGUCUGUCGAAGAGCUGGAGGUCGCCUUUUAUAACCGCGGACUCCAAAAUUUUCUUCAAUUUGUUUGAGCGGUCAUUUGUGAAUUGUCAUUGUCUGUCACAUGGGAGUGGGCCAUAGUGUCGGCCGGUUUUGUCUGCCACUUGUGUCGGUCCAAUGAAGUUGAACCACGUGUCUUGGUCUUUGUCAGCCAGUGGAGAGUGGGUCCCUCUAUUUUCUCUUGUCUGCUUUCUGGUGACGUCAGUGCUUACGUCAUUAUUUUUGUCUCUGGGUUAUUUCACAUUUCGACUUGAGUGAAAAAGUCGUCAUUGUCAUCUUCUAAAGUGAUUGGUGAUGGUGAAGUUGCAGAACUCCUUACUUCAUUUAAUUCUUCCAACAGUUUGUCAUACUCCUUUUCAGAAGUGCAUGCGGCCAUUUGUGACAUGAUUUGUUAUUUUUUUGCUAGAAAAGUUUCUUGUUUGGUAAUAAGAGAUAUACUUGGGUUUUUGGCAAAUUGUGGGUAGUCAACAAAGAAUUGUUCAAUGGCUUUGAGAUCACAGCCAUAUAAAUUGGUUUUAUUCCACCACUUUGUUUUGUAUUUUCUAAUGAGGGUAGGUAUUUGAAAAAUAUCCAAGGUUUGGUCUUUGAGUUGGUACUCUAUCAUUCGGAUCCAUGGAAUAUGGAAAUGGUGGCAAUAAGUUAACCAAGAUGGGGCUAUGGUAACAGUUUCUGGUAAUUGUUGUCUCUCAAAAAACUGUUCUUUAGCUAUCCGAAUUUGGUUUGGGAUAUUGUUUUCAUUGAUACCAAAUUUGUUCCACCAUUGGUAAAACCAAUAGGGCACAGGAUAAGAGAAAUUGUCAUCAAAAAAGAAAAAGAAAGACACAGACAAUUGUUCAUUCUGCUUGAAAAAAGUCCUUUCCCAAGCAGUCUGAUAAUCAUAAUAAUUGUAUUUAAUAUUUUGAUUCAUUUGUCCAAUUGUCAUGAUCAUUUCUCUCAUUUUGUGAGGUUCAAGACCCCAAUCUGUAAGAGUCCAAACUUUCAAAAUUCGAACUUUACAAUAUUUCAGUUUAUUUGGUAUUUGUGGAUCAUAAUUAUUGUGAAUAACAACAGAACAAGUAUUACUGAGAAUGGUCUCGUAGAAAUGUUGUGAUUUUUGAAAAUUGUCUGGUAUGUAAAAGUGACUCUUUGGAAAAACAGUACUACAUAAUUGAUAGACAUUUAAAUUGGGGUUUUGGGCCCAAUAUUCUGGUUCAAUUGUCAGGAUAUACUCAUCAAUUGGUUUAUAAGUAUAGUCUGUCUGGGAUAGUUCUUGUGAAG